rnacentral:misc_RNA from 1 species
GAUGAAGAACGUAGCGAAAUGCGAUAAGUAGUGUGAAUUGCAGAAUUCAGUGAAUCAUCGAAUCUUUGAACGCACAUUGCGCCCCUUGGUAUCCCGAGGGGCAUGACUGUUCGAGCGUCAUUUCACCACUCAAGCCUGGCUUGGUGUUGGGCGACGUCCCCUUUGGGGACGCGCCUCGAAACGCUCGGCGGCGUGGCACCGGCUUUAAGCGUAGCAGAAUCUUUCGCUUUGGAAGUCGGGGCCCCGUCUGCCGGAAGACCUACUCGCAAGGUUGACCUCGGAUCAGGCAGGGAUACCCGCUGAACUUAAGCAUAUCAAUAAGCGGAGGA